CCUACGGGUGGCUGCAGUGGGGAAUAUUGGACAAUGGGGGGAACCCUGAUCCAGCCAUGCCGCGUGUGUGAAGAAGGCCCUCGGGUUGUAAAGCACUUUCAGUGAGGAAGAACGCCUGGUGGUUAAUACCCAUCAGGAAAGACAUCACUCACAGAAGAAGCACCGGCUAACUCCGUGCCAGCAGCCGCGGUAAUACGGAGGGUGCGAGCGUUAAUCGGAAUUACUGGGCGUAAAGCGCGCGUAGGUGGCUUGAUAAGCCGGUUGUGAAAGCCCCGGGCUCAACCUGGGAACGGCAUCCGGAACUGUCAAGCUAGAGUGCAGGAGAGGAAGGUAGAAUUCCCGGUGUAGCGGUGAAAUGCGUAGAGAUCGGGAGGAAUACCAGUGGCGAAGGCGGCCUUCUGGACUGACACUGACACUGAGGUGCGAAAGCGUGGGUAGCAAACAGGAUUAGAUACCCGAGUAGUG
rnacentral:rRNA from 1 species